UACAGAGGUCCCAAGCGUUGUUCGGAUUCAUUGGGCGUAAAGGGUGCGUAGGCGGCGCGGUAAGUCGGGUGUGAAAUCUCGGAGCUUAACUCCGAAACUGCAUUCGAUACUGCCGUGCUUGAGGACUGGAGAGGAGACUGGAAUUUACGGUGUAGCGGUGAAAUGCGUAGAUAAUCGUAAGGAAGACCAGUGGCGAAGGCGGGUCUCUGGACAGUUCCUGACGCUGAGGCACGAAGGCCAGGGGAGCAAACGGGG
rnacentral:rRNA from 1 species